GAGGGGGUGCAAACGUUAUUCGGAUUUACUGGGUGUAAAGGGUGUGUAGACGGGUUGUUAAGUUCGUUGUUAAAUCUUCCGGGCCUAACCGGGAAGCUCGCGAUGGAAACUGGCAAUCUUGAGGAUGGAAGAGAGAAGUGGAAUUCUCGGAGUAGCGGUAAAAUGCGUAGAUCUCGAGAGGAACACCGAUGGCGAAGGCAGCUUCUUGGUCCAUUCCUGACGUUGAGACACGAAAGCGUGGGGAGCAAACAGGAUUAGAUACCCUGGUAGUCCACGCUGUAAACGAUGAUCACUAGGUGUUGGCCCUGUUUUGCAGGGUUAGUAUCGAAGCUAACGCGUUAAGUGAUCCACCUGGGAACUACGAUCGCAAAGAUUAA
rnacentral:rRNA from 1 species